rnacentral:rRNA from 1 species
ACGGUGAAGCCCUUCGGGGUGGAUCAGUGGCGAACGGGUGAGUAACACGUGGGCAAUCUGCCCUGCACUCUGGGACAAGCCCUGGAAACGGGGUCUAAUACCGGAUAUGACCUUCCUCCGCAUGGGGGUGGGUGUAAAGCUCCGGCGGUGCAGGAUGAGCCCGCGGCCUAUCAGCUUGUUGGUGGGGUAAUGGCCCACCAAGGCGACGACGGGUAGCCGGCCUGAGAGGGCGACCGGCCACACUGGGACUGAGACACGGCCCAGACUCCUACGGGAGGCAGCAGUGGGGAAUAUUGCACAAUGGGCGAAAGCCUGAUGCAGCGACGCCGCGUGAGGGAUGACGGCCUUCGGGUUGUAAACCUCUUUCAGCAGGGAAGAAGCGCAAGUGACGGUACCUGCAGAAGAAGCACCGGCUAACUACGUGCCAGCAGCCGCGGUAAUACGUAGGGUGCGAGCGUUGUCCGGAAUUAUUGGGCGUAAAGAGCUCGUAGGCGGCCUGUCGCGUCGGAUGUGAAAGCCCGGGGCUUAACCCCGGGUCUGCAUUCGAUACGGGCAGGCUGGAGUGUGGUAGGGGAGAUCGGAAUUCCUGGUGUAGCGGUGAAAUGCGCAGAUAUC